rnacentral:rRNA from 1 species
CCUACGGGAGGCAGCAGUAGGGAAUUUUCGGCAAUGGGGGAAACCCUGACCGAGCAACGCCGCGUGAGUGAAGAAGGUUUUCGGAUCGUAAAACUCUGUUGUUAGAGAAGAACAAGGAUGAGAGUAGAAUGUUCAUCCCUUGACGGUAUCUAACCAGAAAGCCACGGCUAACUACGUGCCAGCAGCCGCGGUAAU